UUGUGAAGUGAGGAGUAUCCAUGUUGUGUUUGGGUGACCAGCAGUUCACAAGACUUUGUGAAGCUGUGACGUCAUUCAUUUUGACGUCACCAGCAGUUAUCGAACACUGCCGGGAGAAGCGAAAAUGGGAAACAGCCAAAGAGCUGACAGUCCCUAACAGUGAGGCAGACAUUGUAUACAAACGUAUAUGGUUCGGUUAUCCGCUGUUACAUGUUUUCGAUGACGUUCAUCAGCAAAAAGAAACUACCAACGCCGUGGACAAAGAGGGCUGACACUUGUGUUGGUAUGUUGCUGGCAACACACAAGACUGGGCAUGAAAUGCAGUCUAAAACAUCCAUUUACUCCUCCAGAAGAGCACUAGAUGUAACUUAAUAAACAGCCAAAAUGACAGUGAAAGUAAAAAAUGUGUGCAAUUUUGGAUGAAAUGUUCUAAUAGAUCUUUACUCCAAAAUGGAAGUUGGAAUAUUUAUGAGUGACCAUGGUGACCAAUUAAAACCUAGAAGGAAGACAAAAAUUUGCAGAAGAUUCACAAUAAUUUGCAUGCAGAAUUAAUGCUGGCCAUAUAGUGAACUGUGGUAGUUCUGAAGUUUUUGGUCAUUGGUUGUGGAGGCAGUUGGAGAGUUAAUAUCAAUAUGAGCAAAGAACAGGAUAAUGGACUGACAGUCUGUAAAUGUACUAUAUUCUCUGAAGUGAGAUUUAAAACUUAUCAUGAACUUAAGGACAUUGUAGUAACUUCCAUAAAACUCAUGUUACUAUAUUACAAAUAAUUGUGAAAGUGAAAGCAAUGAAGAUUUGUUAAUUGAACAGUCAACUUUAAUAUACAAUCUGUUUUUAUGCAGAGAACAGUUUGGAAUUGUAUUGUUUGUAACCCAUCCUUCAAUUAAAAGUUCAUAUCAUUUUGAGAAGCAGAAUGCUUCAUAUGCAGAGUCAAAGUGUUUCAUAAGUUUGUACUCGUCAGACAGGUUAAGAGAGCCUGACGUACCUAGUAUUAAGAGGCAUAGGUGUGUCACAAACAGCAUGGUUCCAGAACCAUAGUUUCCUUUUCCUAGCAAAGAAGAGGAAAAAGAUGUGGAAAAUGAGGUGCAUCGUAAUGUGUACAACCUAAGAAAGAUCCAUUAUGAAGAAGGAAUGGAAGUCUGGACAGAAGAAAUGUCAGUGAAUUUAAGGAAUUUUGCAGAUACAUAUUUUUCUCUUCUUGAUAGAUCAGCGCUCUAUGACUGACUAAUUAGCCUCCCUAAUCUCAAAAAUUAUAAGUUAACAUUUCUUUUCAGUUUCUUUCCUUCCUGUAUAUGGUGGGUCUUAGUUAGAACUUCUUCCACAGUAAUAAUCUUUUAUUUUUGAAAGCUUAGAAUUGCAACAGUUUGUGGGUUUUGUCAACUGGCUAAUAUUUCCAUCUUGUUUCAAAAGUACAUCUGCUUCACCAUUGUUUCGAUUGAAUAAUGUAGUUGAAGUGAAAUAAGACACACAAAAAACUUAGACAGCAAAGGAAUGUGGUGUGAAGGUAAGAGUGAAAAAUUUGAUGAGAUUUCUAUGCAAGGUAUUUUUUCUUUACAGACACAAGGUCAUGGGAUAUAAACCAACUGAGAUAUUGUCAUAACUAGACUACAGCCAUGAAUUUAUUAAAUGAAGUCUUCAUCUUUUCCCACUUACGCUUUUUUCAUGUAGACCUCUUCUUGGUUACACAACUAUACUGUCAUUAUUAUUAUUAUCAUUAUUAUUGUUGUUGUUGUUGUUGUUGUGUGUUAAGUUAGAACAAGGUGCCAUACUUAAGAAAAUAUCCAUAUGAUGUACUUCCAUUUGUUGUGUUUUACAAAUUGUACUGUUCUCCAUAGUUUGACAUUGGUGUAACAAAUACAGCUGAAGUAGGGAAAAAUGUACUGUUCUCCAUAGUUUGACAUUGGUGUAACAAAUACAGCUGAAGUAGGGAAAAAUGUCA